CGCCUUUCGAUAAAUAAACAUGAAAGGUCCUGCCUGCCCAGUGAUAAAUAUUCAACGGCCGCGGUAUUAUGACCGUGCAAAGGUAGCAUAAUCAUUUGUCUUCUAAAUCAAGACCAGUAUGAAUGGCAAAACGAAAGCUUAACUGUCUCCUUAAGUUAGUCAAUGAAAUUGAUUUUCCCGUGCAGAAGCGGGAAUGUAUAUAUAAGACAAAAAGACCCUGUGGAGCUUUAAAAUAAUGUUAUAUAAAGAUUUUACAAUAACAUUAAGUUUUAGGUUGGGGCGACCGUGAGGUAAAGUAAAACCCUCGAGAAAAUAAUUAGAAAGACACUUCAAAUAAAAUAAAAUAUAUAUAUGACCCAUUAAUGAUCAACGAACCAAGUUACCCCAGGGAUAACAGCGCAAUCCUUUCUUAAAGUCCAUAUUAACGAAUGGGUUUACGACCUCGAUGUUGGAUCAGGACCCCCUAAUGGUGCAACAACUAUUAAAGGUUCGUUUGUUCAACGAUUAAAGUCCU
rnacentral:rRNA from 1 species